AUUGAACGCUGGCGGCAUGCCUUACACAUGCAAGUCGAACGGUAACAGGUUAAGCUGCCGAGUGGCGAACGGGUGAGUAAUGUAUCGGAACGUGCCCAGUCGUGGGGGAUAACUGCUCGAAAGAGCAGCUAAUACCGCAUACGACCUGAGGGUGAAAGCGGGGGAUCGCAAGACCUCGCGCGAUUGGAGCGGCCGAGAUCAGAUUAGGUAGUUGGUGAGGUAAAGGCUCACCAAGCCGACGAUCUGUAGCUGGUCUGAGAGGACGACCAGCCACACUGGGACUGAGACACGGCCCAGACUCCUACGGGAGGCAGCAGUGGGGAAUAUUGGACAAUGGGCGCAAGCCUGAUCCAGCCAUGCCGCGUGCGGGAAGAAGGCCUUCGGGUUGUAAACCGCUUUUGUCAGGGAAGAAAAGGUUCUGGCUAAUACCUGGGACUCAUGACGGUACCUGAAGAAUAAGCACCGGCUAACUACGUG
rnacentral:rRNA from 1 species